rnacentral:rRNA from 1 species
CCACUAUGCUUAGCCGUAAACUUAGACAUCAAACUACAAUAAGAUGUCCGCCAGGGUACUACGAGCAUUAGCUUAAAACCCAAAGGACCUGACGGUGUCUCAGAUCCCCCUAGAGGAGCCUGUUCUAGAACCGAUAACCCCCGUUAAACCUCACCACCCCUAGCCAUCCCAGCCUAUAUACCGCCGUCGUCAGCUUACCCUGUGAAGGUAAUAAAAGUAAGCAAAAUGGAUACAACCCAGAACGUCAGGUCGAGGUGUAGCGCAUGAGGUGGAAAGAAAUGGGC